rnacentral:rRNA from 1 species
GGACUACACGGGUUUCUAAUCCGUUUUGCUCCCCACGCUUUCAUGCCUCAAUGUCAGUAGCAGAAUAGUUAACUGCCUUCGCUAUAUUGAUGUUCUUUCAUAUAUCUACGCAUUUUACCGCUCCACAUAAAGUUCCGUUAACCUCUCCUGCACUCAAGUUCGACAGUAUUACCGACUUCCACGAGGUUGGGCCUCGAUUUCCCACCAGUAACUUAUCGAACCAUCUACGCAUCCUUUACGCCCAAUAAUUCCGGAUAACGUUCGUCACCUAUGUCUUACCGCGGCUGCUGGCAC